UAAGAGUCGGUCUAUUACACCGCCUUAUACAUUUAUAUAUAUAAAGAAGCUUAGGUUUGUAAGGGAGCAGAAAAAUAUGGAAGAAAAAAAAAAUAGAAUUGAGGGUCAUAGUGCAGGAGACGGAAUCGGUGUUCAACUAGUUAUCCACCUUAUUUAAGGAAGAUCUAGAGCAACGAAAGUAGAGGCCAAGAUGAUGAUUGGAAGCUUGGCGUCUAUGAAGGCGAAGAUGUGCCAAUUUGAUAUAUUCAUAACAUGUUUCAUUUAGUUCAUUGUAAACCCUAUUCGGUUCAUUUAAAUUCAAUAUUAUGUUUGGAGUGAACAGAUUAUGCUUAGAGUGAAGUAACAACAUGGAGAUAGAUGUGGAAAAAUUAUUGUAAACUUCAAGCGUUCAUGCCCAUUUGUAUGAAAAUGAUAUAGUUCAUAAUA